GGCGGCGGCCGCCCUGAGGGAGAGCGGGCUGGACAACCUCGGCGUUGUCCGCGUUGGAAGUGUUCGGCAGCGCCGGGGAUGCUUUGCAGCUCUCUGUGUGGCCAUUACAAGCCCGCCACAUACUCUAGUGUUACAGGGGCCGCAGCUCCUGUUCCAGGCCCCCUCAGAGGUGUGCAGUGGAUCUCGUCGAAGCUGAGCACGCUCAGAAAAAGGGGAGCUGUGAGGCCACUGAUGGACAGAGGAUAUCGGGAAUGUGCUGCAUCGCAGUCUCAAUCCCCCUGUGCAAGGAGUUGUAUCACACAGCUGUACUCAGCUUAAAGGGAAUACUUUUGGAUGACAAGUUAAAAGCUGGUUAUCAUUUUUUUACAGCUGGUUUUGGGGGAAUAAAAGGAAAAUUGCUGCUCUAAUUCAAAAGCUGCUCGCUGCUGCAAGCAGAUAUUUGAACCAGAGAACCUCACAGUUGUGGUUUAUCACUUAGAUACAUGGCUGACUUUGAACAUAUGAACUCUGAAUUUUCACAAAGAUGUCUGGAAAGAGAGUUUUACAAAUUUAUUGACUAGUUUUAUUAACAAACCACAGAUGGUUUUAAAAUAGUUAUCUAGGUUUAAAUA